CUAGACAGGACUCACUAGACAGGACUCUCUAGACAGGACUCACUAGACAGGACUCACUAGACAGGACUCUCUAGACAGGACUCUCUAGACAGGACUCACUAGACAGGAGUCUUUAGACAGGGCUCCCCUAGACAGGACUCACUAGACAGGACUCUCUAGACAGGACUCUCUAGACAGGAGUCUUUAGACAGGGCUCCCUAGACAGGACUCACUAGACAGGACUCUCUAGACAGGGCUCUCUAGACAGGACUCUUUAGACAGGACUCUUUAGACAGGACUCUUUAGACAGGACUCUCUAGACAGGGCUCCCUAGACAGGACUCUCUAGACAGGACUCCCUAGACAGGACUCUUUAGACAGGACUCUCUAGACAGGACUCACUAGACAGGACUCACUAGACAGGGACUCUAGACAGGACUCUCAAGACAGGACUCUCUAGACAGGGCUCCCUAGACAGGACUCUCUAGACAGGGACUCUAGACAGGACUCUCUAGACAGGACUCCCUAGACAGGACUCCCUAGACAGGACUCCCUAGACUGGACUCUUUAGACAUGACUCCCUAGACAGGACUCACUAGACAGGGACUCUAGACAGGACUCUCUAGACAGGACUCUCUAGACAGGACUCUCUAGACAGGGCUGCCUAGACAGGACUCUAGACAGGACUCUCUAGACAGGACUCUCUAGACAGGACUCCCUAGACAGGACUUAGAAGGGACUUAGGCUCCCUAGACAGGACUCCCUAGACAGGACUCCCUAGACAGGGACUCUAGACAGGGCUCCCUAGACAGGGUUCCCUAGACAGGACUCUCUAGACAGGACUCUCUAGACAGGAUUUCCUAUGGUGAUGUUAGAUGUUAAACAGCAGACCCAGUUGAGAUGGUAUGGAUCGUAUGUCUUCAGCUAACCUAACAUAGCAGGUGUGAGGCGCUGGUUCUUUCUGUUGUGGGAGGUUCUCUUCUGCACUGUUCAACCAAUCCAGUAAAUGUGGAGGAGGAGUUAAGAUGGAGUGUCGCCUUGUUGACGUCCGAAAGCGGAAGCCGCAUCACAGGCUCUUUCCAUUUCCCAUGAAAACCAGGUGUAGUUAGCUAAUGGAUCUCCCCUGAUUUAGAGCUGUGAUGAGAGCGUAUGGAGGUCACAAACCCACCGUUUACAGGGGAGUAUGGCCUGGAGACACAGAGGGGAUAUUUACACCCAGCAUGACUUCCUAUAGGAAGUGACAUCAUCUCAGUCAGGUCCACAGGCUGGUUCCCCCUCUUUCCUUCUCAUCUAUCUUUACGUCUUUCUUUCUUUCAAUCAGCAUGGACAUGAAAGACAGCAGGGGGGUGAUGUCACUCAGACAGUGUGGGUGGGUGAUGUUCUAGUGAUGACUCGUAGUGAGCAGAUCACUGUUUUAUGUGGCUUAAUUAUAACCAUCUCCUCUCUCUAUCCCUCUCUCCCCUCUAUCUCUCCCAUUCCCCCUCUCUCUCUAUCCCUCUCUCCCCUCUAUCUCUCCCAUUCCUCCUCUCUCUAUCCCUCUCUUCCCCUCUCUCUCCCAUUCCCCCUCUCUCUCUAUCCCUCUCUCCCCUCUAUCUCUCCCAUUCCCCCUCUCUCUAUCCCUCUCUUCCCCUCUCUCUCCCAUUCCCCCUCUCUCUAUCCCUCUCUCUCCCAUCCCCUCUCUAUCUCCCAUUCCCUCUCUAUCUCUCACCCAUUCCCCCUCUCUCUAUCCCUCUCUUCCCCUCUCUCUCCCAUUCCCCUCUCUCUCUAUCCCUCUCUCUCCCAUCCCCUCUCUAUCUCCCAUUCCCUCUCUCUCUAUCCCUCUCUUCCUUCUAUCUCUCCCAUCCCCUCUCUCUCUCUAUCCCUUUCCC
rnacentral:lncRNA from 1 species